GGAGGGGUGGCCGAGUGGUUGAAGGCGGCGGUCUUGAAAACCGCUGUGCCGCAAGGCACCGUGGGUUCGAAUCCCACCCCCUCCGCCA
rnacentral:tRNA from 1 species